GUUAACUUUUCUUGACAGCGCUCGUCCAUUCUGGGCCUGCUGGUCCAGGCGAGAGGAUCCAGGAGCCCCUUCCCAGAGGGAUUCACCGCCCCGGGGCACAGAGAGGCCAACGCUGGCCGCCCACCGCUGUCCCCAGUCGAGCCUCUGCCUGUAAACCGUGCAGGUGGCACCGGUGCCCCUCUGCUUCCCGGAGCCUCGUCUGCCACCACUUGCCACGCGGGUCCUCAAGCUGCAGCCUCCAGGCCUCUGCUGACCGCCAUGCUCUGCCAGAAGGGACACGGGUUUGAUCCCUGGUCUGGGAGGAUCCCAUAGCUGAGGAGCAGUUAAGCCUGUGAGCCACAGCUACUGAGCCUGUGCUCCAGAGCCCGUGAACCGGAACUCCUGAGCCCGUGCACUGCAACUACUGAAGCCUGCUCGCCUAGAGCCCGGGCUCCGCAACAAAAGAAGUCACCGCAACGAGAAGCCUGCUCACAGCAACCAGGGAGUACCCUAUGAACCAUAAGCAAGUAAAUGUGCUCAGCCACUCAGUCGUGUCUGACUCUUUGUGACCCCAAGGACAGUAGCCCUCCAGGCUCCUCUGUCCAUGGGAUUCUCCAGGCAAGAACACUGGAGUGGGUUGUUAUGCCUUUCCCCAAAGGAUCUUCCCGACCCAGUGAUCGAAGGCCUGUCUCCCACGUCUCUUGCAUUGCAGGUGGAUUCUUUACCGCUGAGCCACCUGGGAAGCCCAAAUAAAUAAAUAAAUAAAUUUGGGGCAAGUUCGCCUCCUCCCAGAGCCUGCUCAGCCCUGCUGGCUUGGCCAGGGACCUUUUCUGGAGCCAGCAGACACUGGGCUUCUCACACCACAAAUCUGCUGCUGGCCUGUGUCCUGAAGCAACAGGCCUUAAGCGAGGGAACUGGGACGCGGUGAGCCCCUGGUCACGGCGCCUGCCCCACCCCACGGCUUUCUCACGGUGCGUGGCUUAGAGCUGAGGAGGCGCUUGCCCCCACCCCCAAGGUCCCCAACCUGUGACAGUCAGCCCUUGUGUCUAGUGGCACAGCUUCUGAAAAUUCUUAUUUCCCCUCUAUGCCAGCUGCCAGAGGUGACUGCCGUUGUUCUUGUCGUCAGCUCGUGGUACCUACUUUGCCACUUAUGAGAUGGGGUAGGAUGGGAAC
ensembl:lncRNA